AGGUGGUGGAACCACAGAGCUAAAUCCUGGCUGAAAUUGACUUUAAAAAUAACUAGGAAAACUAUUGGUGGAGAGUUAUCAGUUUUCUGGAGGAGAGAAGACUUUUCUAAGGAUUAAAGGCAAAGAAGAGCAUCAGUGAAAAUGCUCACAGUCCCAUGAGAUGGUAAGCGCCCUGUUCCCCAACCCCUGAUGCCCAGCAAUCACUCGGUUACUAUUUGUGAUACCAGUUAAAUGAAUAGCUCAGCAAUUUUCUUUGCUGGAUGCUUGGCAGUGUGGAAGGUCUGAGGGAAGGGGGAUGGGCUAUGCUGGCACUUUUUGGCAUAGUUCUCACUGGCAGGGGCAGCCUGGGUCUCUGCAGGAGCCCAGCAGCAUCUUCUGAGUAGGCAGAGUCCCUGUGGAAAGCCUCUUCCUUCCCAGCCUGCUUCUUCAGCCCCUCUAGCCUCUGCUAUUCCUGGGGAAUCAAGAGAGAGCACUGACAACAGGAAGCAGUUCUCUAGAAUCCUUGGCAACAAGCGACGCUGCUACGCAAGACAGAGAAAGGGCCGAGCCACUCUGAUUCCUUCACCUUCCGAAAGGCCAGCAGCCUCUGACACACUGUGCGGAAGUGAGCACUUCUGAGAGAGCAUGGGACACCAGGGCCUCACUAUGCAGUUCAGGUUGGUCUUGAAGUCACUGUGUAGCCCAAGCUGGCCUCAAAUUCAUGGUGAUUUUCCUGCCUCAACCUCCUAAGUGCUGGGAUCACAGGCAUGCGCCACCACACCCGGCUUAAGGAAGCAGCAGAAACUAAUUCAGAUUGGACAGAUGGAUGGAUUGAUGGACCAAUGGACAGACAGAUCAACAGGCAGGUAAGUAGAUAAACAAGCAUGUCUUCAACUUAAAAUCACGUCUGAAUAAAAUUACAGGUCCCAAGUCAAUUUUGCCUGGAGUGAGACACAACACUUGCUCCCCACCCCAAAGUCACUCAAUGAACACACCUUAUCAAUGUAAAGUUCUCACUGAGGUUCUCUCAUCCCAAGCCUACAAGUUCCUCUGAUCUGGGAAUUCUGCAGACUCCGUCGUCACAGGGUCAGGAGCCUCCUCUCUGAAUCUGCUGUCUGGGUGCUGAACACAUCUGAUCUUCAGGUCCUUGGUGGCAAAUGGGG
rnacentral:lncRNA from 1 species